rnacentral:misc_RNA from 1 species
AGAACUGUAGGGCUCAAAAGCCAAUAACUGUAUGGCACCAUGUGCCAAAAGAUUCAUAUAAUGUAUUCUGUAGUUGCAGUACUGCUAAUUCAUAUGACAUGCCACACCUUAUACUAACAUACAACCCCUACUAAAGUUUACUAGGGUUAAGAAUACCUAUUAUAUUUUUUUUUCCAAUUAUUAUGUUCAUAUACGUAUCUCAAGUGCACAUAUUUGCCUUACAUAGCCAAAAUUUCACUUAAUUUAUUUCAAUGAGGGAUUAUUUCACAAUUUAAUGGGAGAUACUCAAACAAACUUACAUGACAAGUGUAUAACAUAAAAAUAAUUUUCUACAGAAAAAUACAGAAAUCUGACUAGGUGAGCAGUAAAAUUCAAAAUUCCACCAAAAUUCAU